AGUAUAAGUGAGCGGUAACACAGGUCAGGUNAAAUGUCUGGGAAACUGCCUGAUGGAGGGGGAUAACUACUGGAAACGGUAGCUAAUACCGCAUAACGUCUUCGGACCAAAGUGGGGGACCUUCGGGCCUCAUGCCAUCAGAUGUGCCCAGAUGGGAUUAGCUAGUAGUGGGGGUAAAUGGGCUCAUCCCUAGGGCUGGACCGAUUCCCCUUAGCCUUGGUUCUUGAGGAGGGAAUUGACCCAAGGCCACACUUGGAAACCUUGAGAACAACCNGGUUCCCAAGAACUUCCUUACCGGGGAAGGCCAG
rnacentral:rRNA from 1 species